rnacentral:rRNA from 1 species
CCUACGGGAGGCAGCAGUGGGGAAUAUUACACAAUGGGGGAAACCCUGAUGCAGCAACGCCGCGUGAAGGAAGACGGUUUUCGGAUUGUAAACUUCUGUUCUUAGUGAAGAAUAAUGACGGUAGCUAAGGAGCAAGCCACGGCUAACUACGUGCCAGCAGCCGCGGUAAUACGUAGGUGGCAAGCGUUGUCCGGAAUUACUGGGUGUAAAGGGAGCGCAGGCGGGAAGCCAAGUCAGCUGUGAAAACUACGGGCUUAACUUGUAGACUGCAGUUGAAACUGUUUCCCUUGAGUGUCGGAGAGGUAAUCGGAAUUCCUGGUGUAGCGGUGAAAUGCGUAGAUAUAAGGAAGAACACCAGUGGCGAAGGCGGAUUACUGGACGAUAACUGACGGUGAGGCGCGAAAGCGUGGGGAGCAAACAGGAUUAGAUACCCUAGUAGUC